CUAAGAAAAGCAUUUAGAACAAGAAGUGUUUAACAUGAAAUGGAAAUACUCCCAAAUCCCAAUCCCAAUCCCAAAGCAGACACCAACACCUAUGUCCUAACGUUGUUGCAUCGUGCAUGCACUUUCUUUGGCAUCCAGCUUCACGAAUUCUUCGACGAUCAUGCUCAAUCUCGACUCCCACCGGAAUUCCAAACAUCAUAUGGAAAUGAAAUUGAUUAUGGGAUGCAUCAACUGCAAGUCAGAAUAGCAUCAUCUCCUGACCUUGCCCUGGCUUGGGUGUGCUUGGACUAAUUUUCUUCGAGUCCACUGGAGAUGAGCUUGGAAGGCCAAUAAAUGCAUGGUUAUAGUUA